UGGGGCGUCGCCAAGCGGCAAGGCACGGGGUUUUGAUCUCCGCAUUCGAAGGUUCGAAUCCUUCCGCCCCAGCCA
rnacentral:tRNA from 4 species